UCAAUUUAUUUUGAAUUUAAAUUGUUAUUUUUAUUAAAUUAGGAAAAAUAUUUUUUUAGUUUUAUUAUUAUAAGAGAAUAAAUUAUUAUUAUUAUAGUGAAUUAGUAUAGUGAUUGAAAUUAUUGAAAUGUAAAAAAGAAUAGUUUACUUUUAGUACCUUGUGUAUCAGGGUUAAUUAAUAAAAAAUAAUGAAUUUUAUUAUCUCGAAAGAAUUAAGAGCUAAUUUUAUAUAAAUAUUACUGUUGAAUUAUUAUUUUAAAUAUAUUAUUAGUAAUGAAAUGUUAUUCGUUUUUUUUGAUAUCUAGUUAUUUAAGAAAUAUAUUUAAUAUAGUAUUUAUUUGUAAAUAUAAUAAUUGAAAAUGUUAUUUAAUAAAUAAAUAGUUAUAUUUUAAGGGUUGAGCUUUAAAUUAUAUUUUUAUAAAUGAAUAUAUAAAUUAAAAUUAAAUAGAAUUAGAAAUUUUUAUUUUUUUUAGUAUGUUAUUAUUAUGUUUUAUUUUAAUUUUAUUUAUAUUAAUUUUAAGUUAUUUAUUAAAUAGUAUUAUUUAAUUUUUUUAUAAUAGUUAUAAUGAUUAAAUUAGUAUUAAUUUUUGUUUUUAUAAUUUAUAUUUGUAAGGUUUAGGUAAGGAAUUCGGCAAAUAUUUUUUUCACCUGUUUAUUAAAAACAUGUCCUUUUGAGAAUGAUUUAAGGUCUAACCUGCUCAAUGAUUAAUUAAAUAGCUGCAGUAUUUUGACUGUACAAAGGUAGCAUAAUCAUUAGUUUUUUAAUUGAAAGCUUGUAUGAAUGGUUGCAUGAGAAAAAAUCUGUCUAUUUAAAAUUUUAAAGAAUUUUAUUUUUAAGUUAAAAAGCUUAAAUUUAGUUAAAAGACGAGAAGACCCUGUAGAGUUUAAUUAAUUAUAUAUUUAUUUUUUUUUAGAAAUUUAUUUAAAUAAUUUUAUUAAUUAAUUUGAUUGGGGUGAUCUUAAAAUUUAAAUAACUUUUAUAAUUUAAAAACAUUAAUUUAUGAAUUUUUGAUCCAUAUUUUAUGAUUAAUAGAUUAAAUUACCUUAGGGAUAACAGCGUAAUUUUUUUGGAGAGUUCUUAUCAAUAAAAAAGAUUGCGACCUCGAUGUUGGAUUAAAAUUAACUAUUGGCGCAGAAGUUAAUUAGUUGGGUCUGUUCGACCUUUAAAAUUUUACAUGAUCUGAGUUUAAACCGGUGUGAGCCAGGUUGGUUUCUAUCUUUAAUUUAUUAUUAUAUGUUAGUACGAAAGGGCCGCAUAUUUACAAUAAUUGUUAAUUUAUGAUUAAUAUU
rnacentral:rRNA from 1 species